UAGAAGAAGAGACCUAUUACCAAGUCUUCCAUACUGUUGUUAGCCUUGAGGAUGCUGCUUAUGAGCGCUUUGAAGAGGCAUUGAAGAAUUUCGUUGACACGCCAAUCACGGAUGGAAGCAAAAAAAUCGCUCAGAUUAAUAUCGCAAAAGAUUGCAGACCUACCUCAGAUUCCACUAUACCCAAUUGCAAAUGUCUUAAAGACUUUAAGUUUGAUGAUAAUGGAAAUGAAUGUGUCCCUGAGAAAAGAGUUUCCAUCGAAGGACAAGUACUUUUUGAAGAAGAGGACUACCACAAUGCAUAUGAAAAUCCUAAUUCCGCGAAGUUUAUGGAGAAGAAAGGCAUAUACGAA